UACGUAGGGAGCAAGCGUUGUCCGGAAUCAUUGGGCGUAAAGCGCGCGUAGGUGGCCUCAUAAGUCCGCUGUGAAAGUCAAAGGCUCAACCUUUGAAAGCCGGUAGAUACUGUGGGGCUAGAGUACGGAAGAGGCGAGUGGAAUUCCUGGUGUAGCGGUGGAAUGCGCAGAUAUCAGGAGGAACACCAAUAGCGAAGGCAGCUCGCUGGGACGUUACUGACACUGAGGCGCGAAAGCGUGGGGAGCGAACAGG
rnacentral:rRNA from 1 species